UUUCUUCCGUUUAGGUGAACCUGCGGAAGGAUCAUUACAGAAUGAAAAGUGCUUAACUGCAUUUUUUCUUACACAUGUGUUUUUCUUUUUUUGAAAACUUUGCUUUGGUAGGCCUUCUAUAUGGGGCCUGCCAGAGAUUAAACUCAACCAAAUUUUAUUUAAUGUCAACCGAUUAUUUAAUAGUCAAAACUUUCAACAACGGAUCUCUUGGUUCUCGCAUCGAUGAAGAACGCAGCGAAAUGCGAUAAGUAAUAUGAAUUGCAGAUAUUCGUGAAUCAUCGAAUCUUUGAACGCACAUUGCGCCCUUUGGUAUUCCAAAGGGCAUGCCUGUUUGAGCGUCAUUUCUCCCUCAAACCCUCGGGUUUGGUGUUGAGCGAUACGCUGGGUUUGCUUGAAAGAAAGGCGGAGUAUAAACUAAUGGAUAGGUUUUUUCCACUCAUUGGUACAAACUCCAAAACUUCUUCCAAAUUCGACCUCAAAUCAGGUAGGACUACCCGCUGAACUUAACCAUAUCAAUAAGCCGGGAG
rnacentral:rRNA from 1 species